rnacentral:lncRNA from 7 species
GGAGAUCUCUCCUUGGUGGAGCUUUCCCCUGUGAACCUGGAAUCUUCUGAUAUGGAAUGAUGUGGAUGUUUCUGCUUUUUCUGAAGAGGUCGGUAUGAGCAAGGAGAGUGUAUACUGGAUCGGGUGGAAGUGAUGACUGCAUGAAUCCUGAUGGACCCAGGAAAGAAUCUGCAGAAACAAGUGAAAAGUCCAUGCAGAUACUGAAAUCCUGUCCUCAUCAAGAAGGAAAUGUGCUUGAAGGGCAGUGCUAAGAUGACAUGUGCUUAAGCUGCUGGCUACACCAAGUGCAGACAAGUUGGCCCCACACUUCCUCUGUUCAGCAUGUAGUCUGGAGGUGAUGAGAAACUGCCAAGAUUCCCUGCUGAGGAGUAGAAGAGAGAAGCAUCUUCUCCUUCACAGCUUUUAUCUAAAAACAAGUUAAUCAAUAUGCUAAACGCUGAUAGCAAAAUACACAUAGGCCGGUGUUCUGAGGAGGUCUUGAAGGCACCAUUUGUCCAUGGUAAAACUUUAUCAGGGGAAAAAAUUAUCUUGGAAGGGAUGGAAAGAGUAAGAAACUUGAAAAUAUGUUUAUAUCUUUGCUUUAGGGAUAGGGCAUAUAAAAUCAUAAUGACAGCAGAAAAGUACAUUCCCACUGACACUCUCAAGUGUCUGUACUAAGGACAAGCAGACAAGAAUGAUGCAGUGUGAAUAUUACCACUUUUGCAGUGAAAUUGAGAUUGAAAUUUUCCUGCUUUGGAGGACAAUAUAAUGUAUCUACUCCUCAAUACUACCAAAUUGUUUUUUUUUCAUAAUCACUACUUGCUUUGAAUAGUUUAGCAAGCUCACACAUUUAUGGAGUCACUCUCAUUCGGGCUAAAAGUAAUGAAGAACACUUUGACGAGAUUCUGUUUUCCACAGAUUAUAGCUUUUUGUCUAAGCAAAACGGUAGAACAGUCAAAAGUACAAUUUUUGCCAGCAUGAGUGAUUUCUUUCAGUUCAGAUCGAUUACUUCUUUUUUCCACUGUAAUCUAUUAUCUUCUUAACAGUAAAUUAAUUAACACUCCUACCUUAAUAUGUCUAACUAAUUGGAUGACUUGUUCUCAAGAUUGUCCAUCUAGGCUGCACAGCUGAUUCCUGUAGUGUAAUGAUACUACUUAUUUUGUCCUCAGUUCUGUUCCUGAUGAUUAUUACUAACCCAUUUCUUUAAGUUCCUACUGCACGUUGGGUUGGUAUGAGCUAGUGUUGAGGAACAUUGGCUGAGAGGUUUACUUAGUGAGAGGUAGUCGUUAAUUCUGAUUCUAUUGACUACCACAUAUUAUAAGGUUGAUUUUAACUUUUCUGCUUUUUUUGCACAUACCAGCACUAGAUUUCUCCUGUUAUUUUGUCUGCUUAAUCAUUCACUGCCAUAUCCUGAACACUUUUUCAGCUCGUCAUAUGUGUUAUCUUUAAAUUUUGUUUUCUCUAAAUUCUGUGCUGUCAUUACUCUGUGUCUUUUUACCAUUCUUUUACAAAAGAGCGAUUUAAUCCCCUCUUUUUUAAAGGAAAGAAUGACUCUUUUCAUGGCAGAUGAGAGUCUUGAAACUUUUUAGUGUCUCCUGGAAAGUUAUUGGUUUGAUUUCUAUUUAUAAGAGUCAGCUUUGUUCUCCUCCUAUCAUUUUUGUCUAUGUAUACCAUUCUGUUCUUUCUCAUGGUUUCAAAUCAUUUGCUCAGUAUCGAAGAAUGUCUUGCUAGGAGGCAGCUAUUCAGAUUUAUUCUCUGCUUUUCUCAAGAACUUCUCAGUAAUGCACUUCAAUCCUUGCUGUCCAUCAUGCUUCCUCUCUGCAGGAGAAUCUAUGAGUUUGCAUGGGUCACUUUUAACAGAGGUAAACAAUAAUAUGAUGGAGAUAGCUAAAUGUGAAGGAAUGUGUCUGAUCGUAUGGAAAGCUGAACUCUGUGAACCCCUUUAAUUCUUGGAUCCAGUGUGUUCAGCUGAGUUUCAUAUACUUAAAACCAUACUAAAUGUAUGGUGAUGGUGGUACCUCUUGAAGAGUUGGUAACUCUAUUAGCAGCUGUGUCCCUUAGUUUAAGACAACUUAUUCAUAUUUACUUGCAUUUGUGUUGCAUGUAUUUGUAUAUACAACUGUUUGCUGUCUGUAUUAUUUGUAUUUCUAAGUGAGAGUUUCUAUAUAGGAGUUACUGGUGAAAGAGAAGUUCAGUGACUGUCAGAAGUUCAUACUUCAGGUCCCAGUAAGUGGGGCAAGAAAUUGUCGUUGCUGUUAGUUUCUGCUCCUGAAAUAAUCUUUGACUUUACAAAGUGGGUAGAAAAUGAGUUAAUUUGCAGGACAAAGCAUCCAGCUUUUUUUCACGUCCCAUCAUUACAGAGCUACUUUUCACAUAAUAACUUCAAUUGUGACCUGACAUUUUUUUUCAGGGUGGGAAGCUGAUUUAAGUUACUUGUCCUGAUAGCUCUGCAUUUCCCUUCCUGCCUUCCCCCUGGCAGCAAGCUGCCUCUCAGUCCUACUUGCAUUUCUUAUGGGCAUGCAAAGCAGAAGCUGAAGUAAAUAUUGCGUUCAUGCCCAUUGUUUACUCAUUCUUUCUCGGGAGAAAGAGGUUCCUUCUACACGUUCCGAGACUCAUUCCUUAGUAACAGAUUCCAGUUCUCCACAGUAGAGACACUGAACAGGUGAUGAGAUAGAAGGAAAAAAAAACACUCCGCAUGGAUUGCUGGGCUGCAAAUCAGUUUCAGACUUAAAUGGGAGCUUUGUAGCAUGGGUGCUCAGCUCUGUGCUUUCAUGGCUUUGGGACACAUGGAUAUAAACCUUAAAACUUCCAUUUAUAUAGCAAAUUAUUCAAACAUUAAAGUCUUGAUUGUU